rnacentral:rRNA from 1 species
AUUGAACGCUGGCGGCAGGCCUAACACAUGCAAGUCGAACGGUCGCACGAAACGGCUUGCUGCUUUACUGUCGCGUGGCGCACGGGAGUGACAUGUCUGGAACACAGCUCGAUGACGGGGGUUAACUACUGGAACCGGUACCUAUUACCGCAUAUCUUCUCAAGCGCAAAGUUCAGGACUGUAAGACCUCCUUCCUUCGGCUUAUAGCUGAAGCCGGUCGGGAUUAGCUAGUAGGUCGGGUAACGGCUUACCAAGGCCACGAUGCAUAGCCGAUCUGAGAGGGUGACCGGCCACACUGGAACUGAGACACGGUCCAGACUCCUACGGGAGGCAGCAGUGGGGAAUAUUGCACAAUGGGCGAAAGCCUGACGGAGCAAUGCCGCGUGUGUGAAGAAGGUCUUCGGGUCGUAAAAUACUGUCAGCAGGGAGGAACGGAGGAAAGUGUAUACCUUUGCACAUUGACGUUACCCGCAGAGGAAGCAACGGCUAACUCCGUG